rnacentral:rRNA from 1 species
AUUGAACGCUGGCGGCAUGCCUUACACAUGCAAGUCGAACGGUAACAGGUCUUCGGAUGCUGACGAGUGGCGAACAGGUGAGUAAUACAUCGGAACGUGCCUAGUAGUGGGGGAUAACUACUCGAAAGAGUGGCUAAUACCGCAUGAGAUCUAGGGAUGAAAGCAGGGGAUCGCAAGACCUUGUGCUACUAGAGCGGCCGAUGGCAGAUUAGGUAGUUGGUGGGAGAAAAGCUUACCAAGCCGACGAUCUGUAGCUGGUCUGAGAGGACGAUCAGCCACACUGGGACUGAGACACGGCCCAGACUCCUACGGGAGGCAGCAGUGGGGAAUUUUGGACAAUGGGCGAAAGCCUGAUCCAGCAAUGCCGCGUGCAGGAUGAAGGCCUUCGGGUUGUAAACUGCUUUUGUACGGAACGAAAAGCCCCGGGUUAAUACCCUGGGGUCAUGACGGUACCGUAAGAAUAAGCACCGGCUAACUACGUGCCAGACGCCGCAGUAA